rnacentral:rRNA from 1 species
UACGUAGGGGGCUAGCGUUGUCCGGAAUCAUUGGGCGUAAAGCGCGUGUAGGCGGCCCGGUAAGUCCGCUGUGAAAGUCCAGGGCUCAACCCUGGGAUGCCGGUGGAUACUGUCGGGCUCGAGUCCGGAAGAGGCGAGUGGAAUUCCUGGUGUAGCGGUGGAAUGCGCAGAUAUCAGGAGGAACACCAAUUGCGAAGGCAGCUCGCUGGGACGUCACUGACGCUGAGACGCGAAAGCGUGGGGAGCGAACAGG